rnacentral:rRNA from 1 species
GGGGUGAGUGACUGCGGAUGUCAUUACAGAGCGUGAAGACCUCGGCCCCUCCCGCGGCGCAAGUCGAGGUUGAGGGGAACAUGCCGGGGUCGACCCUCCCACCCGUGUCGAUUUAUUCUCCUGUUGCUUUGGCAGGCCGGGGCGCCUUGGCGCUCCGCCGGCCCCGUGUGGGCUGGAGCGUGCCUGCCAGAGAAAAUGUUAUCAACUCGUGUGAUUGGUGAAGUCUGAGGAAUCAUGUGAGAAAUUAGUUAAAACUUUCAACAACGGAUCUCUUGGCUCUGGCAUCGAUGAAGAACGCAGCGAAAUGCGAUAAGUAAUGUGAAUUGCAGAAUCUAGUGAAUCAUCGAAUCUUUGAACGCACAUUGCGCCCCUUGGUAUUCCGAGGGGCAUGCCUGUUCGAGCGUCAGAACAACCCCUCAGGCCGCUCAGGCUUGGUCUUGGGGCUCGCCCGCCUUGGCGCGGCGGCCCUUAAACACAGUGGCGGUGCCGGUGGUGCUCUCCGCGUAGUCACGUUCUCGCGACAGGGCGGCACCGGACCCAGCCAAAACCCGACGCCGGCAAGGCGUCAACCCCCCUCUCUAGGUUGACCUCGAAUCAGGUAGGGAUACCCGCUGAACUUAAGCAUAUCAAUAAGCGGAGGAAAAGAAACCAACCGGGAUUACCCUAGUAACGGCGAGUGAAGCGGUAACAGCUCAAAUUUGAAAUCUGGCUUCCCUGCGGAGUCCGAGUUGUAAUUUGUAGAAGAUGCUUUGGGUGCUCGGCCCGGUCUAAGUUCCUUGGAACAGGACGUCGUAGAGGGUGAGAAUCCCGUAUGCGGCCGGGGUGGGUGCUCGUGUAAAGCUCUUUCGACGAGUCGAGUUGUUUGGGAAUGCAGCUCAAAAUGGGUGGUAAAUUUCAUCUAAAGCUAAAUAUGGGCCAGAGACCGAUAGCGCACAAGUAGAGUGAUCGAAAGAUGAAAAGCACUUUGGAAAGAGAGUUAAACAGUACGUGAAAUUGUUGAAAGGGAAGCGCUUGCACAGACUUGGCGUCGCUGAUCAUCCAAAGUUUUCUUGUGCACUCGACGACGUACAGCAGCAUCGUUGGGGUGGUGGGAGAACGUUGUAGACGUAGCUCUCUUCGGGAGUGUUAUAGCUGCCACGCAUACCGCUACCUGACGAGGACCGGCUUCGCUAGGAUGCUGGG